rnacentral:lncRNA from 1 species
UUUAUGAUUCCCGACUUUUCGUAUUAGCUCUAAGUUCUUUCGGUCGUUUUUUAUGAUCCCCGACUUUUUGUAUUAGCUCUCAGUUCUUUCGGUCGUUUUUUAUGAUCCCCGACUUUUCGUAUCAGCUCCAAGUUAUUUCGGUUGUUUUUUAUGAUCCCCGACUUUUUCGUAUUAGCUCUAAGUUCUUUCGGUCGUUUUUUAUGAUCCCGACUCUUCGUAUUAGCUCUAAGUUCUUUCGGUCGUUUUUUCGGUCGUUUAUUAUGAUUCCCGACUUUUCGUAUUAGCUCUAAAUUCUUUCGGUCGUUUUUUAUGAUCCCCGACUUUUCGUAUUAGCUCUAAGUUCCUAUCGGUCGUUUUUAUGAACCCCGACUUUGUGUAUUAGGUCUAAGUUCUAUCGGUCCGUUUUUAUGAUCCCCGACUUUGCGUAUUAUCUCUAAAUUCCUUUGGUCUAUUUUUUUGAUCCCCGACUUUGCGUAUUAGCUCUAAGUUCUUUCAUUCGUUUUUAUGAUCCCCGACUUUGCGAAUUAGCUCUAAGUUCUUUCGGUCCGUUUUUAUGAUCCCCGACUUUGCGUAUUAGCUCUUUAGUUCUUUCGGUCGUUUUUAAGAUCCUCGACUUUUCGUAUUAGCUCUAAGUUCUUUCGGUCCGUUUUUAUGAUCCCCGACUUUGCGUAUUAGCUCUAAGUUCUUUCGGUCCGUUUUUAUGAUCCCCGAUUUUGCGUAUUAGCUCUAAAUUCUUUCGGUCUGUUUUCAUGAUCCCCGACUUUGCGUAUUAGCUCUAAGUUCUAUCGGUCGUUUUUAUGAUCCCCGACUUUGUGUAUUAGCUCUAAGUUCUAUCGGUCCGUUUUUAUGAUCCCCGACUUUGCGUAUCAGCUCUAAGUUCUUUUGGUCGUUUUAUGAUCCCCGACUUUGCGUAUUAGCUCUAAAUUCUUUCGGUCCGUUUUUAUGAUCCCCAACUUUACGUAUUAGCUCUAAGUUCUUUCGGUCAUUUUUAUGAUCCCCGAUUUUUUGUAUUAGCUCUAUGUUCUUUCGGUCCGUUUUUAUGAUCCCCGAUUUUGCAUAUUAGCUCUAAGUUCUGUCGGUCCGUUUUUAUGAUCCCCGACUUUUCGUAUUAGCUCUAAGUUCUUUCAGUCCAAUUUUAUGAUCCCCGACUUUGCGUAUUAGCUCUAAGUUCUUUCGUUCGUUUUUAUGAUCCCCGACUUUGCGAAUUAGCUCUAAGUUCUUUCGGUCGUUUUUAUGAUCCCCAACUUUUCGUAUUAGCUCUUAAGUUCUUUCGGUCGUUUUUAAGAUCCUCGACUUUUCGUAUUAGCUCUAAGUUCUUUUGGUCUGUUUUUCUGAUCCCCGACUUUUUGUAUUAGCUCUAAGUUCUUUCGGUCCGUUUUUAUGAUCCCCGAUUUUGCGUAUUAUCUCUAAAUUCCUUUGGUCUAUUUUUAUGCUCCCCGACUUUGCGUAUUAGCUCUAAGUUCUAUCGGUCGUUUUUAUGAUCCCCGACUUUGUGUAUUAGCUCUAAGUUCUAUCGGUCCGUUUUUAUGAUCCCCGACUUUGCGUAUAAGCUCUAAGUUCUUUUGGUCGUUUCAUGAUCCCCGACUUUGCGUAUUAGCUCUAAGUUCUUACGGUCCUUUUUAUGAUCCUCGACUUUGCGUAUUAG